UUGAACUUGCAAUCCUGCCUCAGCCUCCUAAGUAGCUGGGAUUACAGGCAUGUGUCGACCUGCCUGACAGUUCUACAGACUGGAAAGUCCAACACCAAAGUGCCAACAUUUGAAGUCUGGGACCUGAGCGCCUUUGGCUCCCCAUGGCCAGCAGAGGGCAGGACUCCCAGCAGGGCUUCAGAGGGGCUGUGGAGAGGAACAGACUCCCACGGCUGCACAUUGUCCAGACAACACCAGCAGAAGUUGCUACACACAGCCUUGAUAGCCACCAGUGGUGAUCGAACUCGGGACCUUGUGUCUUGUGGUAGUUUUAGAUGCCAUCAAUGUGGGAAAGAACUGACAUGCAAUACCACUCUAGGAGAAAAACCUGUGAUGAUACCUGUCUCAUAAGCACUGUGUACGUCAUAAUAAUAAAGGUCACUUGGGGGAAGGAGACUCAGCUUCUGCCCUUCAGGAAUCAGUUGAGCUGAUGAACUUGGAUGAAGACUGUUUCAGGUGCUGCAGGCGUCUGCUAAAUCAAUGGGGUCCCGGUGGCUGGAGAGCCAGGGAAGGGCAUGAGUGGAGCUGUGAACAGGUGGGGUCUGCUUGUUUUCACCACCGCACCUCGGACGAUGUGGGUGUUAGUCCCAGGAAGAAAACAUGGAUGAAGUUUCACGCUGAACAGAUGCCCGGGAACCAGGUCCAAAUGGAAAGAAAGCCACAGUCGCAUCCCUUCUUCUCUGACAGCCGAGGCUCUCCAUGAACCGUGUGAUAGCAAGGACUGUGGCUUUUUGGGUCAGAGGCGUCCCCCAGCACCUCUGCAAGGCUGCAUACUCACAGGGUGCUGGGUAAAUAGGUACAAUACAUAGAGUAAGGAAGUGAAGGCGGUAGGCAGACGAAGGCGUAAGGCCCAGGCCCAACCGACCCAGGGCAUAACACACCGAAGACGCUUCGUAAAAUACUGGCUGAAGCCAGGUGUGGUGGUGCACGUCUGUAAUCCCAGCUUUGAGAGGCGGGAGAAGCGAAAAUUUCAAUCCAGCUGGUGCAAAUUAGUGAUUUAGCAAUGCCCUGUCUCAAAAAGAACAAAAACGACUGGGAGUGUAGCUCGUUUGCAGGCCCUGGGUUUAAUCCCCAGUACUGUGACGGGUUGAAAGGAGUAUACAGGUGAUAGAGGAAUGAUGCCAUGGGUUUCAAAUCUGCUCUCUCUCUCAUUCUCUCUUUCCUUUUUUUCUGUUUUGGCAGUGCUAGGGCUUGAACCCAGGGCCUUAUGGAUGCUGGGGAAGCACCUCUGCCUUAGCCAAACUGCCAGGUCUGAAAUGUGCCUUUGUGGAGUGAUUGCAUAACUUUCUUGAGCCUUCAUUUGGAGUCAGUAAACUGGGAAUACACUUUCCCCACUUCAGUGGUCAAGUGAGAAAAUAGAUGUGAUCCCAGGGCGGAGCUCUGUAAACUGGAAAGUAUAUAAAACAAAGAGCUGUCAGCCACCCUUGUCACUGGGACUCCCUUGCCCUUAAAAAACGAUGGGAGUAAUUAAAAAACGGGCAUCUGAAAUGAACAGACAUUUCUCAGACAAAGAAGUAAAAGCAGCACAUAAAU